AUAAUGGGUCAGCGACUUAUAUUCUGUAGCAAGGUUAACCGAAUAGGGGAGCCGAAGGGAAACCGAGUCUUAACUGGGCGUUAAGUUGCAGGGUAUAGACCCGAAACCCGGUGAUCUAGCCAUGGGCAGGUUGAAGGUUGGGUAACACUAACUGGAGGACCGAACCGACUAAUGUUGAAAAAUUAGCGGAUGACUUGUGGCUGGGGGUGAAAGGCCAAUCAAACCGGGAGAUAGCUGGUUCUCCCCGAAAGCUAUUUAGGUAGCGCCUCGUGAAUUCAUCUCCGGGGGUAGAGCACUGUUUCGGCAAGGGGGUCAUCCCGACUUACCAACCCGAUGCAAACUGCGAAUACCGGAGAAUGUUAUCACGGGAGACACACGGCGGGUGCUAACGUCCGUCGUGAAGAGGGAAACAACCCAGACCGCCAGCUAAGGUCCCAAAGUCAUGGUUAAGUGGGAAACGAUGUGGGAAGGCCCAGACAGCCAGGAUGUUGGCUUAGAAGCAGCCAUCAUUUAAAGAAAGCGUAAUAGCUCACUGGUCGAGUCGGCCUGCGCGGAAGAUGUAACGGGGCUAAACCAUGCACCGAAGCUGCGGCAGCGACGCUGAUGCGUUGUUGGGUAGGGGAGCGUUCUGUAAGCCUGCGAAGGUGUGCUGUGAGGCAUGCUGGAGGUAUCAGAAGUGCGAAUGCUGACAUAAGUAACGAUAAAGCGGGUGAAAAGCCCGCUCGCCGGAAGACCAAGGGUUCCUGUCCAACGUUAAUCGGGGCAGGGU
rnacentral:rRNA from 1 species